GGGCGGGGGCGGGGGCCCGCACAACCAGGAACCAAAAUAUUAGCCUUCUUAAAAGGGCGAUGCCGCCGGGCUUCCCUCUCGGACAGACCGACCGGCUGCUUUCAACCGGAUCUUUCCUCGCGGCCGGGGAAACCUUGUUCCGACGCCCUGCUCUCUUUCUUUCAGGAGCACGCCCCUUGUAACGUCUGGCCCCCAGCCACGCAGGACACUUUUCCUUUGGGAAACCCGGGAGACGGCCGGACUGGCGCCGGUUUUAAGGGGAGGGCGGAGAAGGGCGUUAGCAGGCCGGGUCCGGGCCCGAGUCCGAACCCCGACCGACGGCUGGUGGCGGGAAUCUGGACCAACCACGUGCGUGCCCGCGUCCCUCAGGAGGUCAAAAGGAGCCCCUGUAACUGGUUGAGCGGAGACAGCCUUUAGGAAGGUCAUUUAGCAGCUGAGCAGAGAAUGGAGUGGAGAAGGAAGAGACCUGAAGCAGAAAGACUGAACAGCAGGUUACUGCAGUGUUCUACAUCUACACAGAUGAGGUUUACAGAGCACUUUACUUACAUCAUAUCAGUUGAGUCUCAUAAACAUCCUCCGAGGAAACAAAUCCAAAGAAACAAAUGAUCGACCACAAGUCACCCAGAUUGUGAGUUAGGAUUCAAAUACAUGUACCCCUGUGUUUGAAACCUCAGCUACCUCUACAUUUCCCAUCAGGCAGCACUCAAUUUGAAUUUCUUUGACUUUAACAAACUCUCCUCUUCCCUUUCCCCUCCAGUUUUCUUUUGUGUGUUGUCUGCCCCCAGAGGAUUAUAAACUCCUAGAGGAAAGAUUGUCUUUUUCAAAUUCUGUAUUCCCAGGCUUUACAUUCUGGACAUCUAGUAGGAACUUAAAUGUUUAUUGACUAUUUAAAUAUAAGAAUUACCUCAGUUCAAUUCUGGACAUUACCGAUAUCACCCCGAUGUUACAGAUAAGUUAAAUGACUUGCAUGUUUAGUAGAUACCUGUGUGUAGGGUAUUUGUCAGUUUUAUUCAUUAGGAUCUCUGAUUUAGAACUAGUGAAGAUGACCUUGGAGGCAAUCUAACGCAAUCCCCGGUACUUUACUGAGGACAUGGUCGACUCGCAUCUAUUUAAAAAAGAAUCAAACAAAGCUAUAUCUUGUUUUUACUAAGUUGGAAUGGAGAUAUGGAGGCAGAGGGAGUGGGUUUGAAUUCCAGCCCCAUUACUGCCCGAGACUCUCCGUGUGUUCCUAAAACGUUUUGUGUAAGGAAAUCUUUCUAUUUCGAAGGCACUUUGGGGAACUGUUCUUUAAAGCGAGACUGUAAAUAAAAAAUAACAGUAAUUGCUUCCUAA